CAGCCGCCGCGGUAAUACGGAGGGUGCAAGCGUUAAACGGAAUUACUGGGCGUAAAGCGCACGCAGGCGGUUUGUUAAGUCAGAUGUGAAAUCCCCGAGCUUAACUUGGGAACUGCAUUUGAAACUGGCAAGCUAGAGUCUUGUAGAGGGGGGUAGAAUUCCAGGUGUAGCGGUGAAAUGCGUAGAGAUCUGGAGGAAUACCGGUGGCGAAGGCGGCCCCCUGGACAAAGACUGACGCUCAGGUGCGAAAGCGUGGGGAGCAAACAGGAUUAGAUACCCCAGUAGUCCCUGUCUCUUAUAC
rnacentral:rRNA from 1 species